UGAGGAAUCUUCCGCAAUGGGCGAAAGCCUGACGGAGCGACACCGCGUGAAGGAUGAAGCCCUUUCCGGGCGUAAACUUCUGUUCUGAGGGACGAAAUUUUUGACGGUACCUCAGGAGAAAGCACCGGCUAAUUCUGUGCCAGCAGCCGCGGUAAGACAGAAGGUGCAAGCGUUACUCGGAAUUACUGGGCGUAAAGGGUCCGCAGGCUCCUUGCCACGUCUGGGGUAAAAGCACGUCGCUCAACGGCGUGUACGUCCCGGAAACGAGCAGGGUUGAGCCAUUCAGAGGCAUCUGGAAUGCCGUGUGUAGGGGUAAAAUCCGUUGAUCCACGGUGGAACGCCGAAAGUGAAAACAGGAUGCUGGGAAUGUGCUGACGCUCAUGGACGAAAGCGUGGGGAGCAAACGGG
rnacentral:rRNA from 1 species